rnacentral:RNase_P_RNA from 2 species
AAUUUCAGGUAAUCGCGGGUAAAGUUAUUUUACCUGAGGAAAGUCCAUGCUCACACAAGCUGAGAUGCUUGUAGUGUUCGUGUCUAGCGAAAUCAUAAGCUAGAGCCAUGACGGCAGUUAAAAAAGCUAAGGCCUUUAGGCUAUGCUUGAGUCAACUUGAAAGUGCCACAGAGACGAUCUAAAUAUGAAAGUAUUUAGCUGGAACGCGGUAAACCCCUCGAGUGAGCAACCCAAACUUUGGUCGGGGCGUUUGUCUUAAGGAAUUCAACUAAAAGACAAGCUGUUUAACAGAGAUAGAUGAUUACCAAACUUAGUAUGAUCCUGCAUACUAAGGGAACAGAACAUGGCUUAUCGAA